rnacentral:rRNA from 1 species
UGCGAGUGAAGAGGGAAAAGCUCAAAUUUAAAAUCUGGCAGUGUUUUGCUGUCCGAGUUGUAACCUAGAGAAGUGUAACCUGGGCUGGACCAUGUACAAGUCUCCUGGAAUGGAGCAUCGCAGAGGGUGAGAAUCCCGUCUUUGACAUGGACUACCAGUGCAUUGUGGUUGUGCUCUCAACGAGUCGAGUUGUUUGGGAAUGCAGCUCUAAAUGGGUGGUAAAUUCCAUCUAAAGCUAAAUAUUGGCGAGAGACCGAUAGCGAACAAGUACCGUGAGGGAAAGAUGAAAAGAACUUUGGAAAGAGAGUUAAACAGUAUGUGAAAUUGUUGAAAGGGAAACGUUUGAAGUCAGUCAUGUUGGCUGGGGAUCAGCCUGGCAGAUUGCCGGGUGUACUUCCUGGUUGACGGGCCAACAUCAGUUUUGACUGCCAGAAAAAGGCCAAGGGAAUGUGGCACCUUUGGGUGUGUUAUAGCUCUUGGUCGUAUGUGGUGGUUGGGACUGAGGAGAGCAGUGCGCCGAAAGGCAGGGUUUCGACCACAUUCGCACUGAGGAUGUUGGCAUAAUGGCUUUAAGCGACCCGUCUUGAAACACGGACCAAGGAGUCUAACAUGCAUGCGAGUGUUUGGGUGGAAAACUCUUACGCGCAAUGAAAGUGAAAGUUGAGAUCCCUGUCGUGGGGAGCAUCGACGCCUGGACCAGAACUUUUGGGACGGAUCUGCGGUAGAGCAUGUAUGUUGGGACCCGAAAGAUGGUGAACUAUGCCUGAUAGGGUGAAGCCAGAGGAACUCUGGUGGAGGCUCGUAGCGAUUCUGACGUGCAAUCGA